CAAAAGUUCAGGGUGUGAUAUCUAAGGUCACUACGGAAAAUCCAGAGACCAGAUACAUCACUCCUAACUGCAAGACAAAAGGAAAAGUCAGGUGUGGUGGUGCUUCCCAGCAAUCUCAGAUCUCGGACACUGAGUAAGACCUAAACACUCUCUGUCUCUCUGUCUCUCUCUCUCUCUGUCUCUCUCUGUCUCUCUCUCUCUCUGAAAAAGAAACAGUGAGGUGAAUUACUUCUGAAGAAAUAACGAAAAGCUUCCAGCCUACUUAGAGGAAGCAAGACAGAGAGGAAGACAGAAUAAGGUGGUAGAAAUAAGCACGAAUAUACGAACAUAUUCUCUUUAUGCUAGGCAUCCUCAUACAAUCCUGGCAGAGCUGGGGCCCCUGGCAACCUCAGCGCGUGAUCUCAGCACAGGGCUCUGCUGCCCUCCGGUGGCCGCUCGGUGUCACUGCACGCCCCGCCUGCUCUGGUCCCGGGAGGAGAGAGCUCCAGCUUGGGAAGCUGACCUGCAGGGAUGGGUGCCCCUCCUCCUGCCCCCCAAGUCGCCCUCCCAUCCCUCUCCCUUGGGGACAGUUUAGAGCUACCUGUCCGCACAGCCUCACGCACUCACAAGCCGCCUCUGGGAGGUGAUUGCCUCAUGGGCGUGGUACACCUGGGUUGACAGGAGGUGGGAUCUGGGCUGAGAGAAAUCGCCUGGUUCAGGGCCUGGGAGCCUUCAUCUCGCUGCCUCUGCUCCCUGGACUCUGCUUUCUGUCUGCCAGGCCCCUCCGCCAUGCCGCGCUGCCUUUGAGCUGCUGACUAGGGACUGAAACCUCUCCCAAGUGCGAGCCGAGAUAAACCUCUCCUCGGUUAACUUGUGUGCGCCCCGUAAGCGUGUCUCGGUGACCAAGUCACUCCCCUCGAGGUCCUGCCCUUGACACCUGCACGGCACGUGAGUGACACCUCUCGGGGGCAGGUCCAACCUUGGCUCUUGGGGAGGUUCUGGAGACGCGGUGGGGCAGCCCCCGGUGAGUCCUGGACGGGUCUAGGCCCCUGCCCCAGGUGUGUGGUCAAAAACAGUACGUUGUGUGGGUGCAGGAGUGGCUCUGCCUGUGUCCGACGCUCUCCACAAGGCCCCGGCAGCUUCCCGGCCGCACCUGUGCCCACCUCGGCCUGAGGGUGUGGGCCCACCUGAGCCACACUAGAGCUCCUGACCUGGCAAGACCCGUGGGGUCCUGAGCCUUCCACGAGCUCUAGGAAGGCUCGAUCGGUCUCUGGGAGGGCCUGACUCCCCUGCUGCUCAGCCACCACACAGCGCCCAGUCACGUCCUGUCCUCGUGGGAUUUCUUCCCCAGCUAGCAAGGGCGGCCCAUUGUGACCUCACUGGUGCGUAGGGCUGUCUUAGUCUGCAAGCUGCAGUCCUUCUGCCCCAAGACCUCUGCUGCUUUGCUGAUCUCAAGACACUGACAAUAUUGCUUGCUGUCUGCUCAGGACCCGGUCGUCUCCAUGGCAAAAGUCUUUGGCCAUUCAUACCCGUGUCCAUCCGUUGCCUCAGCCUUUCUCUUCAGCCAUGGCAAGGGUCCUAGCAGAGGUUCUUCAGCCUUAGUCAGCCCACUUUAGCUUGCUCCUUUUCUUCCUCGUAGGCACAACAGGCAUUGGGCUCUCCCAUCCCAACAGCAGCAUAUGCAUCCUUUUCAACUGGAAUAAAUUUUAAAGUGAUUUUUUAAAUCAUGUCACCCGUAAUUCAUUCAUUCAUCUGUUAUGGCCGAAUUUGGGACCCAUAUCAUUUAACCAUAUUUCAGGCUAAAAGUAAGAAAUAAAUUUGAAAGCCUUAAGUAACGAAAAGCUGGUUUGUUUGUUCAAUUCUGACAUCUGACUUCGGGAAGGAUUAAAAAACUUCCAGCAUUCACUGUGUUGUUCUCCUUCCUCAGACCUGGCUCGGCUUCUGGGUUCUUAGGCAUACCUUCUCUUAUCUAUUCCAGGCUUCCCUCGGGCCGUAGCAGCUCACAGAUGAUUUCCCAAGAUGAGAAGGCUCUCAUUUCCAUCAUUUCAAAUGACAUUCUUCACGUUUGUUCUGAUUGGGUUUGUGUAAAGGAUUUAUUCAAAACCAACCUGUAUAACCAUGGAAAUGACUAUCCUCAUUGGGUUUAAUCCAAACAAAAUCCCCUCCCAAAUGUGCACAAUGGAGGUCUUGGGUUGAAGGUGGAGGUGUUCUCCCAAAAUAAGCUGCGAUGUUCCUACAACUGUGCGUGACAAAAAGUGUCUGUUACAGGGUUCCAACUGUCCCUGGCCAUAAACGUACACAUCCCACCCUCUUCCUCAGACAUUACGUUGCCUAAAUCCUCCCCCCAAUACAGUCCCAGCUUCCAUUCUUUGUUGCAUUUCUAAUUCAAACAUUUAGGUGUGAAACACAUGUCACGUACACACAUCCUUGACAUCCACACCUGAUUCGGUCUGAGAUCACCUAAGCUGAAAUAGCCCUGAUAGCCACACUAUUCUUGAUUAUCACUAUUCAAUGCUUCUGUGAAAUUCAUAUCUACUGCUGAUGCAGGUACAAGUGACCAAAAGAGAAAUGAGGAAAGAAACACAGUUCAGAAACCCAUCUGUGCACUCAUUCCACAGUUAUAAAUACUUCAAGGACCAAACUACUACUGCAAACAAAACAGGGCAUUGGAGCAAAACAUUAAAAUAAAGACUCAUCAUCAGUACUAACUCCCAUUCUGUCCAUCAUAACGUGCAUUACUGAAAAGAAAAUUGUCUCCAAUAAAUUGUAAGGUUUUAUGCUCUAAAUAUGUCAUAGAUUGCUUAUAACACUCCUAGAUCACUUAUCAGAAAUUGCAUCCUUUUAUGGAAACUGCAGGUCAUGGAUUCUAUCUGGAUGUCCCCCCUCAAGCCCCUUGCACCCAGAGGUGAGGGCUUCCAGAGGGUGACUGGGUGAUGGGGGUGCUACGCCAGGCUUGGUGUCAGGAUGUGGGCCUGGUCGGAAGAGGUGGGUCAGCGCGGGUGUGACCUGGGAGGGUGUCUCUUGCUCCCUGGCCCACACUUUACCAUGUGCCUCCUGGCCUCCGCCAGGCAAGCAGCAUUUCUAUCAAUGUGCACCUCUGACAUGCCAUCCUGCCAUCCUGCCAUCCUGGAGCUAGCUAACUAUGAACUGAAAUGUGAGCUGAAACAAACCUCUCUUCCCUUAAUGUGUAGUGCUGAGUAUUGUGUUCAGGGACAAGCAAGUGGGUGAUACAGAUGUUGGUACAAGAAGUCUGCUGGUCACUGCAGCGACUGUACCUCACCAGGUGGUUCAGAGGCCUGUGGAAGUGGUCCACAGCAGUUUGGAAAGGUUUGGAGAUGCCAGCUGGAGAAGCAGCCCUAGAAUGCUCUAAUCUGAGCUUGAUGGAAGAUUCUGGUCCGAGCACAGAAGACCGGAGUGCAGAGAGAUUGCAGAUGAGAAAGGCCAGACUUAGGAGGUUUCAGUUGAGAAGAAGGAUGCCAGUGGCAGUUGGAUCCAGGCCAUGUGUGUUGUGCUCCAGCAGAAAAUAGGACUGUAUUGUGUUCGUGUCCUGAGAUUUGUGUGAGACUGAUACGAAGGGUGGAAGAAUCAUUCAUCUGAUGGAGAAAAUAUCAAGGUAGCCUAAAUAUCAGGCUGUAGCAUGGAUGCUGCUUGCUACUUUGAGCCAGGUUUGUGCUGAAAAUGAGGAGCAAAAGCCCAUUUAAAAACUUUUCAGUUCCACCCCCCCCCCCCAAAGAAAGGCCUGUAAAGAUGGAGCAAUGGACAGCCUGGUGGAUCAAAGAUUAGCAUUAAAAAGAAAUCAAGUACUUUACCAUAGGACGAUGGAAAAGAUACCCUGAAGACACAUAAGGAACCCACAAGGCCCAACCUUUCCAAGGCUCACAGUUGCAAAAGGGAAAGACUUUGUUUGGAGAGGAGAGCCCCAGGGCACCCUGCGUGAGAAGGGCCACCGUGGCGGGUUCCCUGGGAUUCAUCCAGUUCAUGGUGCUCAGCCAUCCAGGCCCAUGGAUGCUUCUGCAGCCAUGAUGCACAAAGGCCUAAGGAGGACUGCUUGGAGCCAGUGGUAGAACUUUGUGUCAUCUACAGGGUGCUGUUUUCACAGGUGUGCAGAAUGCAAGAGUUGAGUCAGGGAGGCUUCCACCCAAAUUUCCAAGGAAGGCCUGGCAGGCCAGGCUGGGUGUCCCUGAGAGGGCAGUGCAUGCAGCUGUGAGAGUUAAGCCAAAGGUGCGCUGGAGAACCCAGGAUGAGGGUGCAGUCAGGAACAUGGAACACCUGCAGAAAGCCACGCACCCAAACAUGUAACCCUCAUCUAAUCAGGAAGGAAACAUCAGGAAAACUUAAAUUGGGGGACAUUCUGUAAGAUAUCAGCUCAGUCAUACUCCAAACUGUCAGCUCAUACCAAACGAAACAAGGAAAAAUUGUGAAAACAUCAGUCAAGGGGCGUCUGAGGGAUGCAACAAUGAAAUGCAAUGUGGCAGCCCGGACGGGACUGCAGAUUGUUGUGGAGAGCAAGUGGUGAAGGUGGAUCUUAGUUAGUAAUUAUACAUCAAUAUUUGCUCACUCCUUGUACAGGAUGUACAAGACUAAUGGAUGACAUUAAUAACAGGAAAUGGAAGAGCUGGGUGGCCAUCUUAAUUGUGUAUAAAUCUAAAGCUUGUCAUAUAUAUAAGCUGUACUACGAGUUGUUCUUGUUUUGGUAUUUUUGGUUUUUCUUUCUUUUGGUACCGGGCAUUGAACUCAGGACCUUGUGCUGGUGAGGCAGGCAUGGUGCCACUGAGCUAAAUCCCCGGCCCCUCAAGCUCUGUUAUGUACAUGUAGCCACUCCUCAAAUGAUUGUGAACUGCACAAUAAAAAGAAGCAACAAUGUAAACUGCAGGCCUGCUUUCUAACACCGAAUCUCCCACCCUCAGCCAUAAUAGAAGCCUAAAUAUACUCCACAACCUCAACUAAAUCCCAACAAAAACCGCAACCCAAAGUGCACCUUGCCCCUUGGUCCUAAGCCACUUCCUCACCCUAACUGUAGCGAAACUUUGAGGAUGCAACCUCACUUCCUUGGUAUUAGAACCCAGCGAAACUGGGUGCCCUUCUGAAGCUGUCUCCCGUCCUGACCCCUUGGAGGGAGACAGAGAAGAGGGGAGGACGAGCUGUUGCCAUUUUCCCGCUUUCUGAAGGUCUAACGACAGAAAGGACCGCAAUCCGAGCCUUUUCCGACCUUGGCUCGGCUCUGGCCGCAGAGGUUUCCAGCUAAUGUUCAGGAGGAACCCACAUGUGAGAGAGGCAGCCCAGUGCCCACCCUGGACGUCAGCGCCAGCUGUGACCUCUCAUGGGCAGUGCUUCCCCUCGCGCUCAGGCGCCACCUCUCCCAUUUUGGAAACCUGGUCCGAAUGGCACCAUCCACCGGACAUUCCCCAAAUCAAGAUCAAAAGGGCCGGCUUGCAAGUGAACUCACCUGGAGCAGACAUGGAGCCUCCCUUGUGCCGUCCCCUUGCUCAGGUGGAAUAUCUAGAGCCCCACGAGGCCGACACAGAUGCUCCGGCUCCACGACCAGAACACCAUGGGCCUGCUCUGCAGCCGGAGCCAGCCCCAGAGGGAGAGCCUCCUCUGGAGACAGGAGAGAAGCAGAAGCCAGCUCCACAGCACUCCUGCCUCUCUGCUGCCGCUGACAAGGACAGGUCCUUGCAGAAGGUGCUCUUAGAAUUCUCUCGCGGGGGGUGGGGGGAGCGCCUGUGUUUGUUGGGUGUAAAAUC
rnacentral:lncRNA from 1 species